GACGAACGCUGGCGGCGUGCUUAACACAUGCCAGUCGAACGGAAAGGCCCUGCUUUUGUGGGGUGCUCGAGUGGCGAACGGGUGAGUAACACGUGAGUAACCUGCCCUUGACUUUGGGAUAACUUCAGGAAACUGGGGCUACUACCGGAUAGGAGCUCCUGCUGCAUGGUGGGGGUUGGAAAGUUUCGGCGGUUGGGGAUGGACUCGCGGCUUAUCAGCUUGUUGGUGGGGUAGUGGCUUACCAAGGCUUUGACGGGUAGCCGGCCUGAGAGGGUGACCGGCCACAUUGGGACUGAGAUACGGCCCAGACUCGUACGGGAGGCAGCAGUGGGGAAUAUUGCACAAUGGGCGGAAGCCUGAUGCAGCAACGCCGCGUGCGGGAUGACGGCCUUCGGGUUGUAAACCGCUUUCGCCUGUGACGAAGCGUGAGUGACGGUAAUGGGUAAAGAAGCACCGGCUAACUACGUG
rnacentral:rRNA from 1 species